AAGGUUUAGCCAGGAAUAAAAGUCAGACAUCAAAAAUUUCUAAAUCGAUAUACAUCUAGGUAAAGUCUAGGUAAAGUCACCGAAGGGUUAGCUUUACAUUCCAGGUCUAGAUAGAUCGAGAGUCUAUCGAUAGUCUAGAUCUAGACCUUAUUUAGAUACAUGAAUGUUGUCAUGCAGCACUGAUUCUGGUUGGACUAGAUCUAUACUUUCUUACAAAUAGAACUAGACCUAGUGCAUGAGAUUAUGAAAUUAUGUUGUUAAAAUCAAAUGAACUAAGAUUCGGAAUAAAAAGAUGCAGAUUUUUUUUUUGUUGGGGGGGGGGCAGACAUGUGAAAAAAAUUAGAGAAACCUGAAAUUCAGAAAGUGAGGGCCCGAACCUACCAAUAUUGCCUAGGGCUGUUUUUUGCAUUUUCUAAAGUAAAAUUGAAGGAUUUCAUGCAAUUCUUUUUUUUUAUGAAGGUUUUCACAUUUCAGCUCCCACCCAAGCCCCUCCCCCUACACUGUUAGAAAAUUUAUUCUUAAAAUAAAAUAAUUUCCUGCAGCAGAGUCUCGAGAACACCUGUCAUUUUACCAGAUUGCAUAAUCUUACAUUAUAUCAUGUAAAAUUACAGGAAAUUGGUAUUUGGUGUAUGGAACCUUACAAAUUUCCUCAAAUAAAACACCAUUUUCCUCUUUUUAAACAGACCUGUUCUGUAGAAAACUUCCUGUUUUAUGAAUUUACAGAAUGAUUCUGUUAUUGCUUUCUGCAAAAUCUUGUUUUUUUUCUGUAAAAUCUGUUUUUUUUAACAGUGUACAUACGGCCAUGAAAGAGAUCACUUGACAAUUAUUGUUCUCUCUUUUCUUUCACAAACAGGUUGAGUUUGAAGAACAAGAAAAACAGUAGAGGUCUACCCGGUACCUAUGGUUAAACAUGAUCAUAAGUGCAUGUAUCAUUUUGCAGAUUCUCAUCCAGGAUGAUGCAGCUCUACAAUUUCCAUGGAGGUGAUUGAUGAUGAUAAACAAUUGGUGAAGUAGGCCUAAUAGAACAGUGAUAGGACCACAAAGAGAAAUACAACAUACAGCAGUUAUAUGAGACUGGUGUAACAGAUGUUUUCAUUCAAGAAAUCCAACAAAUUGAAGAGUGACUUAGCUUAGGAAGCACUUGAUAAAGAUGGAAAAGGUUUUUUUUUUCAAGUCCAAUUUUUUUUUUUUUUAAUUAUCAUCACAACCCCAAAUUCAUGAAGUAUGAAAUUUCCUGUCGAUUUUCAUUAAAACUGGUUGCAAAAGGAAAAGCUAUAAACAUACAAAUAGGAGCGGCGAAGUGAAGUUGAAAGUGGGGGGGGGGGGGAGGCACAGGGAAAAUGCUGUAUUAUGUGAAAUUUUAAAGAAGUUGCGAGAGAGCAAAAUUUUGACAUUUUUAAAAAGAAAAUCCAAUUUUGUGAUAGAUUUCGACAAAAUAUUCAGAAUGAUAUAUUUCACCCUUUUUUUUUUUGGGGGGGGGGGGCAAGAGUCCUUCAAGCCCCCCCCCCCCCCUCCAUCUGUAGUGUAUGAAACUGCUUAUCUACCCCCACUCACAUGAAUUAUUAAACUUAAUGCACAAAGGAUUUCCUUGUUUCAAAGGGCACUCGUCAUGGUGACCAUAAAACGGGUCCUUCUCAGGUGAAAGGGGCACAGAACAAAUUCUUUAGGAGCACUUUUCUGGGGUAAAAGGGGGCAUUUAUUCGAGAAAGGGCACUUACAAGAAGGCGAGGGGGCACUUUUUAACACUUAAAACGGGCCCCCAGAUGAAAGGGCACAGAACACGUUCAGGGGGACAUUUUUUGGUAAAAAUUUGCAUACAAGGAAGAGCACUUGGUAACACCUAAAACAGGUUCUCGUCAGGUGAAAGGGACACAGUACACGUUCGUGAGGGGGCAUUUUUCUUACAUAAAAUUAAAGGCACUUUUCAGUGCUUCAAAAAGUAGGGGGAACUGUGCCCCCCAGGAUCGCUGCCCCUGCAUACAAAAAACAUUUUUGUUCGAUUCAAAGUAUUAAAAUACGCUUAAGAAAAAAAGUAAGGCUAAAUCCUCUGAUAAUGUGAUAUUUUUUAUAGCUAUUAAUAAAAUUCACAACUAACCAGAAAAUGCCUUCAUGUCUUUCAUUUGUAUUCAUAUAGUAUUUGUACAGAGCUAAAAUGAAAGGGAUUUGGAAUUGGCAAAAUUCAAAUGAGAUGGAGAUCGAGAGAGAGAAAGAGUGAUGAGAAGGGGGUUGAAAAGAGAUGAGAAAGAAAUGGAGGGGCAC